AUAUUAAAAAAAAAAUAAAAUCACUACACAACAUCCUGGAAGUUGGGUACUGUUAAACUAAGCAUUUCAGAAUGAGGUGCUUGCCUUUUGUUCUGUCCUAUAAGUUUCUGGCUCUCGACGCAUUUGUCACAGAUGGCUUUCCAUAGAGAUCACUGCGUGCAAACCCAAAAUCUGGUUUGUUUACUUUUUGCUGACAAACUUUUAAAUAGAGGCUCAAGGGCUGCAGUGUUGAUCCUGUGGUUAUAAAUAAAUAAAUCGCAACAUGCCACACAGAGCUCUUUUUUCAUUUGCUAUGUUUUCUUUUUUACUGUCGUGCAAAUUCUGAUGAGGCGGUAAAUGAGUGCAAGGUAUUUUUGUCAUUUGUAGUGAAUGCAAACAUCUGAUUUUUGUAUCCGAAUGCAUGUAAAAGUGUGUCAUUAUUUGUACAUAUGUGUUAAUGUUAUGUGUGCACGUCCUAAAUACUGUAAUAAUCCACUCCCUUGUAAGGGGAACAUUUAACUACAUUGUACAACUGCAAUAAACUGCCAUCAAAACCAAUAUUGAGACCACUCGGGUUUUAUGUCAAUGUUAUGACCUGCCUUACUGGCACAACUCUUCAAUAAGGACAGACACCCUCUUAGUCAGGCAGUGUUAUACAUUAUCUGAAAUGAAUUGUGUAAUUUAACAGGUUUCAAUGAAGAACCUGGGGGGAAUGAGUUCUAAAAUGUCUUUUGAAAUGUUUUCGCUCAAAUUUGAUGCAUCUUUUUUGCAGAGUAAUGAGAAGGUUGGCAUUAUGAAGAUCUGGAAAGCCUGACUUAAAGUGAUUUUGGCAUCUUGUGAGCACAAUAGUGUGAAGUUCGAUAUUCUGAGAAUGACCCGGAAAGCCUGACUUGAAGUGACUUUGGCAUCUUGUGAACACAGUGAUGUGAAGUUCGAUAUUCUGAGAAUGACCCGGAAAGCCUGACUUGAAGAGUAAUGAGAAGGUUGGCAUUAUGAAGAUCUGGAAAGCCUGACUUAAAGUCUUGGUGACUUUGGCAUCUUGUGAGCACAGUGAUGUGAAGUUCGGUAUUCUGAGAAUGACCCGGAAAGCCUGACUUGAAGAUGGUGCUAAACACCAGAGUGUUACAGAGCACUGCAUGACUGAGAACCUUUGGCAUUGUGAAGGUGACGGACGUAUUUUAAAUGUAAGUUGAGAGUACCUAUUUAACACUGAAUUUUUUUUUUUAAAUAAAUGGCAUAUACAUCACUUUGGAUGAAUGAUGAAUAUAUUCUUGAACUCUCUCACUGACAGUUGAUGACAGUAAGAAUUCUGAUCUCAUCCUACCCUGACUACUUGAUGGUUGUUACAAUAGUUGUGGGCCACUAUAUCCCUGUUGCUUAGAUAUACAUCCCAACAGGGAUGGCCAAUGGGACACAAAGAUGCUUUGUUUUUAAAUGGCUUUUGGCUAAGGACCCUAAAUGUGUCAUUAUGUGUUGUGCACUCCGAGAUGCUAUUCAUUGUACUGAUUGUAAAAUAAACCAUUCUAUUAUCUACCCUAAUUUUAUAAAGUUUUUCAGGAACCAUCUGGGAUUUACUUAUACACCACAGGUUGGGGGAAAGUUGGCAUGAAGGUAUGAGAUUGUAUUCGUGGUUUCAUAGGGCUAAACGAAAGCUUGACUUGAAGGUAUGAUACUUGAGUGAAUUUAUGGCAUGCAUGUCCCCUUCAAGCCCAUUUAAGACUGAUUUGUGUUUUAGUGGCCAACACGGGGGUAGACUAGUUCUCUCAUAAACCUGAAGCAAAGGCAAAACCCCUGCUUUGGAUCCUGUCGGGAGAUACAAAUGUUAUCAUACCACAGAUGCUCUACUUGUGUGACUUUCUUCUUGGAAUAAGUUCAUUUGAAGGGAAUGGAGAAUAUAAUCAGGCAUGGAGUGUUUGAUAGGUUGAACCUGCAAACAGGCAAUAUAGAAGAAAUGAACCCCACCCUGUUUAACACAAAAAAACAUGUAGAAUUCAGAAAGAAGCAAAUUAAAAGCAAUGUUAAUACCACUCUGAACAUGUGACUGUCUCCAAUGAACAAUAACAUGUGGUAUACAAGCAAGAACUGGUUGGACUGCUGUCCAAAGCAUUUUCCAACUUGCUGACAAUGUAAUUGAUUUAUAAAAAUGUCUUUCAAUUAAGACGAACAUGCCGGUGUACAAACAACCUAUUUUAUUUUAGUGAAAUGACACAUCCCAGCAUCUUCCUUCUGCAGUUAUGAAGAUUUGUAUUGCAGGGUCUGUCUUUCAGGUAUGAUGUGUAAUGUAUUGUGUCCUCUUAAAGAUUUGCCCAUUUAAGGCUGACUCUGCCUUUUUAGUGGCCAACAUGGGGGGGAUACAAUAGUUCUCAUAAACCGUUGCUUUGGAUCCUGUUGGGAGGUACAACUGAUCGUACCCCAUCUUGAACAGAAUACAAACCUUGGGGCAAACGUUUGUGUUGCACUACUGGAUUCUAUUGGAAUUUGCUAAAUUGACAAGAUUCAGAAUUUUAACCUACACUCCAUUUACUACCUAAUCAAAUACAGUAAUACCACUGAGAGGAGCACUUUUGUGUUCGUUAUAUUGUAUAUAUACAAAUCAAAAACACUGUUCAGUAUUCCUUUAUUUGCCUGAAUGAUGGUAAUUGGUCUCCCCUUUUUUUUCUUUACAGACUAGAAUCCCAGGUAGAGAUGGCUUUUUCAGUGUUUGCAUGAUUUCUGAAAUGUGUUGUCAGAACACUAAAAAUAAACUUUUUUUUAAAGUG